AACCUACGGGAGUGGGAGCAGGAGGUGAUGUGGUGGUUGAUAUCGGCGAGUUUGCUGGAGCGGAAGCUGGAGGUGAAGUAGAGGUUGAUGCCGGUGAAAUUGAUGGUGAGGGUGAGUUGUUUGAAGGGUAUGGAGAUAGUGGAGAUGGUGCUAUUCCAUUUCCAGAGGGUGUUUGUGCUGUCGAUGGAGGCUGAGAGGAUAUUUGAGGUGAUUGGGAAGAUGAUGGAGAAGAGGUGGUUGGUGGAGUAUGAAUGUAAGGUGGUUGAGAUGUUGGUGAAUGAGUGUUUGGUGGUGUUUGAAUAUAUGGAGGUUGUGAGAUUGGUGAAGGAGCACCUGGAGGUGUUUGAGAAGAUGGAGAUGGAGUACUUUUUGGAGGGGCUGAAACGUAUGGUGGUUGUGAUGUUGGUGAAGAAGGAGAGUUUGGAGGUGUUUGAAUGUAUGGUGGUUGUGAUCUUGGUGAAGAAGUGUUUGGUGGUGUUUGAAUGUAUGGAGGUUGUGAUGUUGGAGAAUCGUUUUUUGGAGGUGUUUGAAUAUAAGGUGCUUGUGAUGAUGUUGGAGAAGGAGUGUUUGGUGGUGUUGGAACAUAUGGAGGUUGAGAAAUUGGAGAAGGGGUUUUUGGAGGGUGGCUGCUAGGGGAAGGAGUAGUUGGAGGUGUGUAAGGAACACUAGGAGAAGGAGAUUUUGGUGGUGUAAUUGGUACAUAAGGUGGUUGAGAGAUAGGAGAAGGCGUUUUGGGAGGAGUUGGUGUAUAUGGUGGUUCAUUUUUAGGGGAAGGAGCUUUUGGAGGAGUGUAAGGAUGAUUUGGAGGGGUGUGAAUAGGAGAGGGAGUGUUUGGUGGUGUAAUUGGUACAUAGGGUGGUUGAUUGCUAGGGGAAGGUGCUUUUGGAGGAGUAUGGGGAUGAUUUGGAGGGGUGUAAAUAGGAGAAGGAGUGUUUGGUGGUGUGAUUGGUACAUAGGGUGGUUGAUUUCCAGGGGAAUGUGCUUUUGGUGGAGUAUAUGGAGCAUUAGGAGGAGUGUGAAUAGGAGAAGCUGAUUUUGGAGGAGUAUAUGGAACAUUAGGAGGAGUGUGAGUAGGAGAAGGUGUUUUUGGAGGUGUAAUUGGUGUAUAGGGUGGUUCAUUUCCAGGAGAAGGUGCUUUUGGAGGAGUAUAAGGAACAUUAGGAGGAGUGUGAAUAGGAGAAGGAGUUUUAGGGGGUGUAAUUGGUAUAUAUGGUGGUUCAUUUCCCGGAGAAGGGGCUUUUGGAGGAGUAUAGGGAACAUUAGGUGGGGCGUAAAUAGGAGAAGGUGUUUUUGGAGGUGUAAUUGGAACAUAAGGAGGUGUAGGAAGAAGCUUGGGAGGAGGAGUAGACACAUAAGGAGGAGGUUCUCUCACAGCCAACACCACAACAAUCAAUUUUUGACCAUUUUCACAAUUAUGAUCUUUUCCACUAAUGAAAUAAAAGGGACCAGAUCUAUCAAAUUGAAACUCAGAAUCAUCAUCUUCAAAUUUCUUGAUCGGAUUCUUCUUAUUGCACUCGUCAUAAUCCUCUUUGUUCACCACCAACACUGAGUUUGACUCCUUCUUGUACUUAAAAACUAUAACAAAACAAAAUCAUAAUUAAAAACUACUAAUCCACAAGCAAAUUAAUUAACAAUAAUUGAAAUGAAAGUUACCUAGAAUAUCAUUGACUUGGAACCUAUUCCUCGCAGUCCAUUGAUUGUAACUUUCAGAAGGAUUCAAAACCCAUCCAUCUUUUCCACCAGCAUAAAACGUAUAGCCUUGUGAACAUGAAAUUAAACUAAAAAGAAACAAGAAGAUGCAAAUAUGUUUUCGAAGAAGCUUCAUGACUAAUUAACAAGUACUAUACAUAGAGAGAGAGAGAAGAGAGUUAUGGAAAAGUGAUGAUGAAGAGAGUGAUAUAAAGAGAAAGUUUUUGUUGGUUACCGUUGUAUAGUGAUGACUGAAUUAUUAAUUGAUGUACGAACAAGCGUGUGUAACGCGGGGGGGUUACGUGUGAAAUUUUAAGGGAUCUACAAGUGGCAUAGACUAAAGUUAUGAUAGAGAUAUUAAUUUAAUAUAUAAUAGGAUGAAAUGGAUUAUUACUAUAACAUGCAAAGAAAUUUCUAAAGUAAGAAAAGCAUUAAUUAUGAGAUAUUAUUGCUUUCGUGGCCAAUGUUUAGUGGGUUGUGUCUUGUGAUGUGAAGUGAGAUUGAAAACUUUAUUUUCCUACCGACGAGACUAGAGGGCACUACGUGUUUGGCGAAAUGAUAGAGAUAUCAACUUGGAAUAUAUUGUAAGAUGGAGUUAAAUGACUGUUUGAGUUAACUUUCAUUGUUUUCAAUUCUUACUUUAAAAUUAGGAAAGAUAUAAAGGUAAAAGGUUAACAAAGAUAAAUAAAAGUUAUGAUUAUAUAAAUCAAUCAUGACUUUACUUUUAAGUAUAUGAUCCAAAAGUAGAAUUUGGGGAUUGGAAUAGUUGUGCUUUGAUUUACUUUUUACUUACAACUUUUUUUUGGUAACACAAAUUAGUGAUCCAAUCAUGGGUUUGUUGAGUCAACUUUAUUUACAUUAGUUAACUUUUUUCUUAUAUUUAAAACUGGAUGGAGUAACUAUUUUACCUUAUAUUGUAAAUUGGUCUUAAAUCAAAGGAGACAUGAAAUUGGGAAACCAAUGAAAUAAAAAGUUGUAAGGUUGACAUAAACAGCUAAAUGCUGCCAACCACAUCCUCUAGCCACCCCUGCAUUAUUUAAGGCAUUUGUUCCCUGAGAUCAUUUUGAUAAUGAUCAUAUGAUAAAUUGACACCUGAUAAGACACAUUGAAUAGAAUUUAGUAGUACGGAAACAGCAAGCAAAGGUGCUAUUGAAGCAAACUCCUUUUUUUUUAUAGUAGGACUACUACUAAAUAGUUGAAUCCUUAUGUCAUGACCAAAUACAAGAAACAAAACAAAACAUAAACCAAGGAAAAGAGAAAGCUUUAGACCGGCUCUCAUUGAAUGUUUAGCUCUUUGCGGUUGGCCUGCUCCCAACUCUUUGGAAACCCUUGUGCUAUAAAAUUUGAGUUCAAACUUUUUAAUAUAUAAACAAGAACAUAGAUUAAAUGCUUAUAACAGAAUAUUCUUGGUGCAUAAGAUAAAGAAGAUAAAAAUAGUAGAAAAGAGAAGAGAGAUAACAAAUUUUUAAUCCUAUGUUAAAACGGUUACACAAAAAUGGUUGCACACACACUGCAUUACAAUAUUAAGUGGGUACAAUUGUUGAUAGUUACAGUGCUAUAUAUACACAAAUAAUAAUGUCACGUAGACGAAAUAUUAAAAUACUGAAUUACCCUUCAACGUCAUCCCUUAAUUCAGGAUUUGACUAAUCAAAACCAAUAACACUAAUUAUAUCUUUAAAUGAAGAAAUUGACCAAUCUUGAUCAUUUUCGUCAGAACAUCUACCAGCUGCUUCCGGGUGCUAUAGUGCAUAACUUCUAGCACUCCAUUUUGAACUUGACUUCUCAGAAAAUGAUACUUAGUCUAAGUAUGCUUGCUUCUCCCAACAACACUGGAUUAUUGACAAGAUUGAUUGCAGACUUGUUAUCAAUCAUUAGCUUCUGAGGCUCAUUUACCUUGAUUGUCAUAUCCUGUAGUAAAUUUAGAAGUCAAACAACUUGACAUGCAGUCAUAUCACCUGCAAUACAUUCAGAUUCACAGGUUGACAAAACAACAAUUGGUUGAUUCUUGGAACACCAAGAAAUAGGACCUCCUAGAUACUUAAACAAAUAUCCAGAAGUACUUCUUCUGCCAACUACAUAGCAAAUGUCAGGUCUGAUAUUUCACAAACACCUCAUAGAGUCAACCAACUGCUUGAAAGUCGUAGCAUAUACAUCAUCUCCUUCAGAAUCAGAAUCCAAUUUAUGAUUUAUUUUUACAGGUGUGACAGCAGCCUCACAAUUCAGCAACUCGAAUCUCUUCAGAAGCUCAAGUUCAUAUUUCAGCUGAUGCAAAAUGAUACCCUUCUCAGAGCACAUAAACUCCACCCCUAGGAAAUUUUUCAUCUUUCUUAGAUCAGUUAUCUCAAACUCAUUCAUCAACACCUUCUUGAACUUAGCUAUCUCAUGUUCACAACUCCCUGUUAGCAACAUGUCAUCAACAUAGAGACACACUAGAAUCAUAUUGCCUUCAGAAGUAUGCUGAACAUCAAUCCAUACUUCAUCUCACACUUUCUGAAUCCUUGGAGCUUGAAAAAUGAUUUAAUCUUCAGAUUAUAAGCUCGAGGAGCUUGUUUCAGCCCAUACAAGACUUUAUGCAACUUAUACACCAUCCCUUCCUGAUUCUUUUUCUCAAAUCUAGGAGGUUGUGAC
rnacentral:lncRNA from 1 species